UGGGAAGCCAGAUGGGCUGUCUACCUGA
rnacentral:piRNA from 1 species